UAAAAUUGUUGCAGUUAAAAAGCUCGUAGUUGAAUUUCGGGGUCAGUUCGCUGGUCAUGCUUCUGGUAUGUACUGGUGUUUCCGAUUCCUCCCUUCUGACGAACUGUCAUGUCAUUAAUUUGGUGUGGCAGGGAAUCAGGACUGUUACUUUGAAAAAAUUAGAGUGUUUAAAGCAGGCUCGCGCUUGAAUACAUUAGCAUGGAAUAAUGAAAUAGNACGUUCGAUCCUAUUUUGUUGGUUUCUAGGAUUGACGUAAUGAUUAAUAGGG
rnacentral:rRNA from 1 species